rnacentral:lncRNA from 1 species
CAAACAGUCACACGUCACAAACAGCAUUUGAAUUGCCUGAAGAAAGAGUGAGUGCUUUACAAUGUGGAAGAGUUAAUAGUUAAGCUCAUUGUACCAUAUUGUGUUUCAUACUUGACCGUUUAAGUAGAUUUAUAAAUAUUCACUAAUUUUAACUAAGUUAAAGCAAGAAGGAUAAUUGGUUUAAAACACUUCUAAAAGAGUAUGCAAGAAAGGAUAAAAGACAGACAAUCUGUGGAAUGGAG